rnacentral:rRNA from 1 species
UACGUAGGUGGCGAGCGUUAUCCGGAAUGAUUGGGCGUAAAGGGUGCGUAGGCGGCCUGCUAAGUCUGGAGUGAAAGGUACCGGCUCAACCGGUACAGGCUCUGGAAACUGGCGGGCUAGAGAGCAGGAGAGGGCGGUGGAACUCCAUGUGUAGCGGUAAAAUGCGUAGAGAUAUGGAGGAACACCAGUGGCGAAGGCGGCUUCCUGGUCUGCAACUGACACUGAGGCGCGAAAGCGUGGGGAGCAAACAGG